rnacentral:rRNA from 1 species
GAUGAACGCUGGCGGCGUGCCUAAUACAUGCAAGUCGAGCGAACAGACGAGGAGCUUGCUCCUCUGACGUUAGCGGCGGACGGGUGAGUAACACGUGGAUAACCUACCUAUAAGACUGGGAUAACUUCGGGAAACCGGAGCUAAUACCGGAUAAUAUAUUGAACCGCAUGGUUCAAUAGUGAAAGACGGUUUUGCUGUCACUUAUAGAUGGAUCCGCGCCGCAUUAGCUAGUUGGUAAGGUAACGGCUUACCAAGGCAACGAUGCGUAGCCGACCUGAGAGGGUGAUCAGCCACACUGGAGCUGAGACACGGUCCAGACUCCUACGGGAGGCAGCAGUAGGGAAUCUUCCGCAAUGGGCGAAAGCCUGACGGAGCAACGCCGCGUGAGUGAUGAAGGUCUUCGGAUCGUAAAACUCUGUUAGUAGGGAAGAAGAAAUGUGUAAGUAACUAUGCACGUCUUGACGGUACCUAAACAGAAAGCCACGGCUAACUACGUG